GAUGAACGCUGGCGGCGUGCCUAAUACAUGCAAGUCGAGCGAACGGACGAGAAGCUUGCUUCUCUGAUGUUAGCGGCGGACGGGUGAGUAACACGUGGAUAACCUACCUAUAAGACUGGGAUAACUUCGGGAAACCGGAGCUAAUACCGGAUAAUAUUUUGAACCGCAUGGUUCAAAAGUGAAAGACGGUCUUGCUGUCACUUAUCGAUGGAUCCGCGCUGCAUUAGCUAGUUGGUAAGGUAACGGCUUACCAAGGCAACGAUGCAUAGCCGACCUGAGAGGGUGAUAGGCCACACUGGAACUGAGACACGGUCAAGACUCCUACGGGAGGCAGCAGUAGGGAAUCUUCCGCAAUGGGCGAAAGCCUGACGGAGCAACGCCGCGUGAGUGAUGAAGGUCUUCGGAUCGUAAAACUCGGUUAUUAGGGAAGAACAGAUGUGUAAGUAACUGUGCACAUCUUGACGGUACCUAAUCAGAAAGCCACGGCUAACUACGUG
rnacentral:rRNA from 1 species